GCGCAGCAGUCGAGAAAACUUCACAACGUGCGAAAGCACGAUGAGGGAAUCCCAAGUGCUUGCACGUAAGUGUAAGCUGUUUCUCUGUCUAAAACGCAGAGAGAGUAAGGGCUGGGUAAGACGGGUGCCAGCCGCCGCGGUAAUACCUGCAGCUCGAGUGGCGACCGUUAUUAUUGGGCCUAAAACGUCCGUAGCCGGUUUAAUAAAUGCCUGGGUAAAUCGGACCGCUUAACGGUUCGAAUUCCGGGUAGACUGUUAAACUUGAGACCGGGAGAAGUUAGAGGUACUCCUGGGGUAGAGGUGAAAUUCUGUAAUCCUAGGGGGACCACCAGUGGCGAAGGCGUCUAACUAGAACGGGUCUGACGGUGAGGGACGAAGCCCUGGGGCGCAAACGGGAUUAGAUACCCCGGUAGU
rnacentral:rRNA from 1 species